CUAAGGCUGAUGGCGACCGGCGCACGGGUGAGUAACACGUAUCCAACCUGCCGUCUACUCUUGGCCAGCCUUCUGAAAGGAAGAUUAAUCCAGGAUGGCAUCAUGAGUUCACAUGUCCGCAUGAUUAAAGGUAUUUUCCGGUAGACGAUGGGGAUGCGUUCCAUUAGAUAGUAGGCGGGGUAACGGCCCACCUAGUCAACGAUGGAUAGGGGUUCUGAGAGGAAGGUCCCCCACAUUGGAACUGAGACACGGUCCAAACUCCUACGGGAGGCAGCAGUGAGGAAUAUUGGUCAAUGGGCGAUGGCCUGAACCAGCCAAGUAGCGUGAAGGAUGACUGCCCUAUGGGUUGUAAACUUCUUUUAUAAAGGAAUAAAGUCGGGUAUGCAUACCCGUUUGCAUGUACUUUAUGAAUAAGGAUCGGCUAACUCCGUGCCAGCAGCCGCGGUAAUACGGAGGAUCCGAGCGUUAUCCGGAUUUAUUGGGUUUAAAGGGAGCGUAGAUGGAUGUUUAAGUCAGUUGUGAAAGUUUGCGGCUCAACCGUAAAAUUGCAGUUGAUACUGGAUGUCUUGAGUGCAGUUGAGGCAGGCGGAAUUCGUGGUGUAGCGGUGAAAUGCUUAGAUAUCACGAAGAACUCCGAUUGC
rnacentral:rRNA from 1 species